rnacentral:rRNA from 1 species
AUUGAACGCUGGCGGCAGGCCUAACACAUGCAAGUCGAGCGAGCGGCGGACGGGUGUGGAAUGUCUGGGAAACUGCCCGAAGGAGGGGGGUAACCACUGGAAACGGUAGCUAAUACCGCAUACCAUCAGAUGUGCCCCCAUGGGAUUAGCCAGUAGGUGGGGUAACGGCUCACCUAGGCGACGAUCCCUAACUGGUCUUAGAGGAUGACCAGCCACACGGGAACUGAGACACGGUCCAGACUCCUACGGGAGGCAGCAGUUGGGAAUAUUGCACAAUGGGCGCAAGCCUGAUGCAGCCAUGCCGCGUGUGUGAAGAAGGCCUUCGGGUUGUAAAGCACUUUCAGCGGGGAGGCGUUACCCGCAGAAGAAGCACCGGCUAACUCCGUGCCAGCAGCCGCGGUAAUUC